UGUAAAGGAGGUCCUUGCUUCUCCUUUGCCUUCCGCCACGAUUGUGAGUUUCCUGAGGCCUCCUAGCCCUUCAGAACUGCCAUUAAUCAUCAUAUUUAUUCUACCUUAUCCAACAUGAAAACCUUUUCCUGGAUUGAGUACAGAGCAGGU
rnacentral:lncRNA from 13 species